GACGAACGCUGGCGGCGUGCUUAACACAUGCAAGUCGAACGGUAAGGCUCCAGCUUGCUGGGGUACACGAGUGGCGAACGGGUGAGUAAUACGUGGGUGACCUGCCCUGCACUUCGGGAUAAGCCUGGGAAACUGGGUCUAAUACCGGAUAGGACCAUGGUGUGGAUACUGUGGUGGAAAGUUUUUUCGGUGUGGGAUGGGCCCGCGGCCUAUCAGCUUGUUGGUGGGGUAAUGGCCUACCAAGGCGGCGACGGGUAGCCGUCCUGAGAGGGUGGACGGCCACAUUGGGACUGAGACACGGCCCAGACUCCUACGGGAGGCAGCAGUGGGGAAUAUUGCACAAUGGGCGGAAGCCUGAUGCAGCGACGCCGCGUGGGGGAUGACGGCCUUCGGGUUGUAAACUCCUUUCACCAUCGACGAAGGGUUUCUGACGGUAGAUGGAGAAGAAGCACCGGCUAACUACGUG
rnacentral:rRNA from 1 species